UACGGAGGGUGCAAGCGUUAUCCGGAUUCACUGGGUUUAAAGGGUGCGUAGGCGGGCAGGUAAGUCCGUGGUGAAAUCUCUGAGCUUAACUCAGAAACUGCCAUGGAUACUAUUUGUCUUGAAUAUUGUGGAGGUAAGCGGAAUAUGUCAUGUAGCGGUGAAAUGCUUAGAUAUGACAUAGAACACCAAUUGCGAAGGCAGCUUACUACACAGUAAUUGACGCUGAGGCACGGAAGCGUGGGGAUCAAACAGG
rnacentral:rRNA from 1 species